UCCCCAGUUGAGCUGCCCGAUCCCACUCCUACUUGCGUGCAAGCAGGAGCGGGAGCGGGCAGCUCAGCUGGGGA